CCAGAAAUCAUUUUUUUUUUUUUCAGAAAUCAUUCUUAAGAGAAGCUAGAAAGUCUCCAACUACUGGCUAUGGAUAAUCACAUCUCAGAGAGGAGGUGAAAGGGAAGAACAUGAAGCUGCCAACAGAGAAACCAAUAGCAUGUGCCUGGAUUGAGAGAAGAAGCAGAAGUCAUGAUGGAGCAGAUUUACAAGUUUCUCCUUUCAAGAAUAAAGAGUGAAUGUCUAGGCAUAUUCAUGGACUCUCCUUGGUCAAGGAAAGCCUCAUCUUCUACUUCCAGGAAGAAAGAAAGCAAGAGAUGGUUGACAGCCAGCGGAGAGCAGAUUCUGGAGGCUUCUGUUCAUCCCAUGGCCACUUCACAGCAGACAUGCAUCCUCAUGAAUUCCUGCCACAAGAAAGGAUAGGCGGUCGUUGAUGGGUGUGCCAGCUCCUAAAAGAAGGUUCUUGGCCAGUGGCACUGCAUGGAUAUCUUCAUUAUCCUUCCUUCACUGUGUCCCAGUUGCAUAGAAAAUAAUUACACCUAGACCAGUAGACUUGAUGUUCAUUUAAACAAGCUGAUGUUUCUUGGUUGAAUUUUAAACCCAUUACCCAUCAAACUUCUCAGCCUCCAAAACUCUCCAGAUGCAGACCCUUCUACCGUCAUACACAGAGCCUUGUAUCUGAGGAAAGAGAGUUCCCUUUCUUAAAUACUAACUAUAGACAAAACCAAUGCCCUUGGCCUAGUUUAUAUGGUUCUUCACUAUAUAUCCUCAAUUUAUAAUUUCAGCUGUACCCUUACCCAACUCAUCUGACAGUUCAAUUUUACCGGGCUGACAUCUGCCUGACUUUACCUUGUGCUUUCUUACCUUUAUCUUUGCUUCUAUUUUUUCCCCUCUGCCAAGAAUAUAAUCCUUUUGUAUUGUCAUUCAUUUGGAAAAUUUCUACUCAGCCAUCUACACCUAAUAUUUUCAUUUUUUUGACACCUAAUAUUUUCAGAUGUCUCCCAGACCCAAAAAGCAAAUCCCUCCCCCUCUUAGCGCUCCCACACUACUUUGUACCUGCAUGUGGAGUAUCACACUUCUAUCUAACUGGUGAUUCGUUUGUCUUCUUAUACAUCUAGACUUCAUUGGGGAAAACUAUUCACCUCUAUGUUUGCAAUAACCAAUCACAUAGUAGCAGUUCUCCUAAUGUUUGAUGAAUAAAUGAGUGGUUUCUUCUGCCAGAUUUUCAAAUACGGCAAGAUCAUGCAUCCAAACCUAAUAUGGAGUGGGGUUGUUUUUUGGUUGUUUUUGUUUCUUUGUUUGUUUUAAAUGUCUUCCAUCGUGACUUGAUCGUUUUGGCUUUGUUUUUUGUUUAAGAGAGUGAAUGAUUGUAAAUUUAACUAGGUAAAUAAAGAUGG